GUUUACAGUGUUGCUAUUUAAACAGUUCCAGUUAAGCUUUGAAAAGCACCUUCCUUUCAGGUCAAUAAAGUGGCUGCAGGCCAAGUUCCCAUCUGUGCUUAACUUGUGUUUGCUGGCUGGAGACAAUUUUCUACUAGGCCUGUUUGAAAAGAAAGCAGUGUAGUGUGAUAACUGUCUGCUAACGCGGGCCUGCAUGGAGGCUUGGAAACUCUGACAGCCCAAAAGUCUCAGUCACAGUAAUGUAUGAUAAGGAUAUCAGUGUUCUAACUGUGCCCACAGAUGGGAGUGCCCCAAGCAAAGCAGCCAAGUGAGUUCUUGAUCUUGGCCUGAUCCAGAGGUGCUGUCCUUCCCCCAGAAUGGAGCUGCAGCAUCAGGGUUCCCACAGCAGUGACCCAGCAUCUCCAAAAACAGGGAAGAGCAUCUUCCCUAAGUGGUGGUGAAGGUGAAACCAGCAAAGGGAGAGAAUUUGGGGUGACAACACUGCACAGGAGGCCUAAAAGCCAGAGAAAAGUGUCACAGGAGAGCACCUCACCAUGUCUGCAGCAAACCACAGAGCUACAGCAGCAGAAAGAAAGCAGAACAAGAGAUGUCACGGAGAGCUGAUGGGACAUUUUGGAGGGCUGAAGAAAGCUGCCUGAAACUCUGACCUAUUGGAUCUGUAGGUCAGUCUGCCAUAUGGAAUGAGCUGCUGCAGUGUGUUGUAAAACUGCUGCAAGAAACCACUGCUGCAGCUCCAUCUCUUUGCUAUUAGGAGAAAAGGUCAGGCACAAGCUCCUUCUGCUGCUCUUGGCUGUGCUGAGCAAAGGCCAUGGAAGGAGCCCAUUACAGACUGAAAGUGAAUUGCUCCAGGCUUGUGAGUUGUAGUGCCAGUGGGGAGGCACACUGCUAAUAAAAAUGGUCUGGUGUACGGGGGCUUUUUGGGAUAUACAAUCUGAAACUUGAAGGUAUUCAGUGAGGACUGGAGAGUGGAUUUCCAAAAGAGGACAAACACGAAAUAACUCUGUCUAGACAUAUCCUUCUAAAGCCUGAUUCCGAGGCUUUACAGCCCUGAUGGACUGUCCCUCUCUGAAAUUAACCCUAAUUUAUCCUCCCUGCCUCCACAACAACCUGUGCCAAUGAGGUCCACAAUUUCAGUGCUGCUGAGCAAAUGUGCAGCUGAUAAACACAGACUUAUUACUCAUGUUAGUGCCAUCUCUGUGCUUGUCAGUUUAGGAAUGUGUCCUUAAAUGCUUAUGGGAUAUGCACAUUAGCCUGACUUUAUAAUCUAAGACAUGCAAAUUGGUCUUUAUAACGGUGUAAAACCCAUUAAGCCAAUGGAGUUUCACAUGGACGUAUGGUCUGCCCACACAGAUUGAAUUACAGGUUGAGGGCUAUAAUUGCAGCAAACAGCACAUAAUUACUGGAAUGACACUCUCUUUGUUACCUCUGAGCACUGAGAAUAUUUCCUAUACUAAAAAGGUUAUUCAUAAAGAUGGUACAGUUCCCUUGAAAAAAAAAAAAAAGAAAUAAAAUGAGGAGCUACAUGGAAGCCAUAGCCUAUUUUUAAUGCUUCCAUUUGUCAGGAAGUGACAGAGGAGUCAAAACUUCGAAUUAGUCAAAUAAGGUAAAAAUGUAUAUGAAACUUCAGUAGUGUCUGGUAGUUGCAUUGUGCAAUUGUACUCAUCAAAAGCCAUCCUGACAGCUUUUUCAUUCUAAGUUAAAGGAAAGUAUAAUGAUUUGUUUAUAUUUGGAAGUUCUAAGAAUUCUGUGUACAUAUUUCAUUUGACUGUAUCACAAAAGAAUAAUUUAUUGCAACUACCUAACAAAAAGCUUCCAAACCUGGCUGUUUUAAUACCUCACUCAUUUCCUUCAGAAUAUCUUUUUUAUAUUGUCAUAAGAUUUCCUGUCUGCAGCCCUGCUGCUGUAAACCUCUCGACUGUAACAGACCUCAGCCUCAAAAAUGUCAAACACAAUGGCAAAGGGAGAAGGGCAGAGUGAGCUGCUCCUGGGGCUCCUCUGCUCCUCCUCUCUGGGUCACUGCCCCAGCUGAGCAUCCACACUGCUGGGGAUGCUCUGUGCUAUGGCACUGAGGUUCACUGGGAAAAUCCAGCAUCCAUCCAGUUCUCCCCUUGGACUCCCCUUUUCCUCCUCUUCCUUAACAAGAACAAAGCAUAGGAGCUGUAAAUGCAAAAAAUAGUUGCCUUUUGAAAGCUCAUUUUUCUUAACCUCCACCAUAAGACAUGCUUGCUAAGGACUUCUGGGAAAAAUUAGUUUUAAAGAACGUACCUGUAUGUCAGAAAAAGUCUACAGGGCUGAUCUAGGAAUAUAUAAUUUUAUUUCUUUUUUUAAUGCAAGGAUUACACUGACUGUAAGCCAGGGAAAGAGAGGUUUGGUGUCUUUACACUUGCUAUGUUAUGACAUAAAUACAGAAUAUGAUGCAUGCCUAAUAUUAGCUUUGAUGGCAAAGGAAAAUUCCGAGAACUCUAAAGAGGAAGAUUUGGUUUGUGGUGUCAGUUUUAUCAGACAGGUGAACAGAGCUUUCCCUGCAUCCUCCUCAUAGCCUGGCUGGGGCACACAGUUCAUGACAGGAAAAUAUUUUCCUUUCUGGCUAAGCUUCUUCUGGAAGAAGGAAGACAAGAUUGUAAAACAGGAGUUC